UAAGGAAUAUUGGUCAAUGGACGCAAGUCUGAACCAGCCAUGCCGCGUGGAGGAUGAAGGUCCUCUGGAUUGUAAACUUCUUUUAUCUGGGACGAAACACUUCUUUUCUAAGAGGCCUGACGGUGCCAGAUGAAUAAGCACCGGCUAACUCCGUGCCAGCAGCCGCGGUAAUACGGAGGGUGCAAGCGUUAUCCGGAUUCACUGGGUUUAAAGGGUGCGUAGGUGGGUAUGUAAGUCAGUGGUGAAAUCCCCGAGCUUAACUCGGGAACUGCCAUUGAUACUAUAUAUCUUGAAUACCGUAGAGGUAAGCGGAAUAUGUCAUGUAGCGGUGAAAUGCUUAGAUAUGACAUGGAACACCAAUUGCGAAGGCAGCUUACUAUGCGGUGAUUGACACUGAGGCACGAAAGCGUGGGUAGCAAACA
rnacentral:rRNA from 1 species